UAAAAUUUCCAUUUUGCGAACCCAAUACAAAUCAAACCAAAAGGUGGUAAAAAACCAUGAUAUUUAUAUACACCAGAUCUUAAGUCACACUGUAGGGCUAUAAUUAAUUAACUUGUACUACUAUAUAGUGGAUAUUUUCUAAAUAUCUUUCCAAUCAUUUAUGUUGAGAAAUCCAAGAACGUUUAAUAUAAAUUACUGAAUAAGGCAGAAUUUUAGCAAUUGGUAUACAAUAUAAAUGCAGAUAAUUUAUACUAUAGUCAAAUCUAUAUUUACUAAAGUAUUAAGGAUACCAUGUGUGUAUGGACUGUCAGAAGAAAUCCAUUUCAUUUCUAAAGCAGUGGAUUGUUUAAUAUGUUCAAUUCUUUAGCACUUUCUUGAAAUUCCUGGCAAGAGCUUUGUGGUUUUAUUAAAUUGAAAAAAAAAAUUCACAAAAAAUGUUAGGUUUGAUAUUACUUCAAAAAGUCACAGCUAUUGAAGACAAUCAACCAGACCUUCAAGUGCACUUGUGUCUAAAAUGUCACUUUGUCCCCUAAGAAAAGGAAAUGAUCAAGUAUUUUAAGAUGCUUACUAUUAAAAAAAAUAAUCAGAGGAAGUUGGUCUUUAAUUGGAUGCUUGUAUUCUUUCCAGGGUUCUUAGUAUGUUUAGAUGUUGGUAUCUUGAUUUUUACACUUUCCUGAUUGCCCUUGAUAGCAGCCUCAAGGCGGGCUUUCAGGGCUGGAGAAGAAGCCAUUACAUUUUUAAAAACUGAUGAAUACUGAGGCCCAAUCUGCAUGAGAUUUUGCAAAGCGAAGUCAUGUAAAUUUUUCAUUACAGAAGUUGCAGAUCCCAGAUCAUUAUCAUCCAAAAGGAAGGAAAUGAGGAUGGGCAGGAGACAGGCCACCAGCUGAGAACCUGGCAAGUAAAUAAAUGAUAGAGAACAAAUUAGCACAAACAUGGGGAGCUGCAGCAGGAGAGGGAGAAGCAGGCUCCCCACAGAGCGGGGAGCUAGACGUUUGGCUAGGGUUUGGCCUCAGGACCACGACCCUGAGCUGAAGGCAGAUGUCCAGCUGAUUGAGCCACCCAGGUGUCCCUAAAUGAAAUCUUUCUGACCCAGAACCAACUUUGGAAUUUUUCAUAUGGCUCCUGGAAAAUCACAAAAGAAUUAUUUUUGCUCCUUACAAAACCAGAGCUGUUAAACUAACUAGGCUUAUUUGAUAUUAAAUCAUGUGGGAAGAAUUCUCAAAAGGAAGUAAUACUAAGCUGCCUUUAUGUUGUAUUUCUAUAAGUAUAGGUUAUAAAUGUUACAGAAAUAUGUGAAAUUCCUGGAAAUCUGACAUGUCUUUGUAUAACGUUAUUAGUGAUAAUUCUUAUUAUUACCUUAAAAUACUGUGUGUCAACCAAAUUUUUAUGUUAGUUCCAUUAUAAUGAACUCUCCUCAGAGCUUUAACCAUGGACAUUUUUAAGUCUUCUGUCAUGUACAGUUAUAUUUUACUCUGAUUCUUUUGCAAAAGUGAGACUCAUGGAAAAGACCCUAUAAAAUUAUUUUUGUAUAUUGAUUCCUGCAGCAGGGUCUUCCUUUGAUUUAACAGAUUUUAAUUGGUUUGGGUCUUGGAGGCUGUGGCUGCAAAGUGCACUCCAGACAUUAGAAAUUAUCCUGCUUAUGCUAAUCAUAAUAAUCAUCUCCAUGGUGUCCUGUUCUCCUCAAAUGUUUUAAAUGCAUGUUUGUGGCUGCUAACCACCAUGCAAACGACCUGCAAAAGACUGGAACGUCAGAAACGGAACAAAAAGAAUGACCAAUUUAAAAAAUGUGAACCUUAAAGUAACUUAUGAAUACCACAAAGAUCAGCAAAAACUGCAAGAACUUCAAUGGUAGCACUAAUGUUUUCAACUUUGACCAGAAAAGGUGAGAGUAUGAUCAAAACGGGGGAGAUUGUUAAAAAAAGAGACAGCAGGCCAAAUGGAGUUACCUAUGCUAAAGCCCAUGUGACCAAACCAAGACUUAAUACCUAACUUAGUUAUAGUCAAUCUGGAAUUACCUGGUCAAUUAGUGAGGCAAUCUGCACAACAGACCCCUGCUGUUUCCCAAAGGAAGGUGACUUUGCCUGAAACAAUCCAUACUAUGCUAGUAACUUCCUUGUUCUGCCCCCUUCUGUCUAUAAAUCUUUCAUUUUGUAUAGCUCUUCAAAGCUCUUUUCUGUCUGUCAGAUGGGAUGCUGCUCAAUAUAUGAAAUGUUGAAUAAAACAGUAAAAUAUUUAAAAUUUA